CAAAAGAACUGUUUGUAAGGGACUCUGAGCCCGCCGACAGAGGCGUUAAUGUACUUAUUGGAUGGCAGUCAGGGCAUCGACCAGCUUGCCGAUUAAGACUGUAUUGCCUGCCAACCACAUGUUCGGGAGAGAGCGUGCAGGAAAUAUUGCAGGAUGUCCCAAAUCAAGUAUGGAAAUUACAGGAUCUGAAGUACGAAUGUAACUACACAGUAAUAAUGCACGCAGAAGGUUCCACCCAAGACAGCCGUCACCCUGUAUCAAUUAACUUCACAACACCAACUUGCCUUCAACUGUCCGGACAUAACUACACGUUUUGUGCUCCCCUGGCGCCGCAAAAUAUAACAUAUGAAAUAAGGAAUAGGACUGAAGAUGGCGCCGACAUUUGGGUCACGUGGCUACCUCCGCCAUAUAGAACAGAAGCC